rnacentral:tRNA from 1 species
GUCUUUGUAGUAUAUAAAAUACUUUGGUCUUGUAAACCAAAAAAGGAGAACACAUCCUCCCUAAGACU